CUCCAGUUAGCUAGUAUUUCCCACUCAACCUUAAAGUCACCAAGGCCAGUGACCUUGAACAAACUCAACAUGGGACCCUGCGCCAGGAACGAUUGCUUCUUCAAGACUCGUGCCCAUCAUCUACAAGGGGGGGUGCACACCCAGCCCCCAUCCACUGGAAACCUCCACCAUCCUCAGUGGAUUCAACGCCGAGGGUCAGUCCUGAAAGCGUCCGUAUAGGAGUGUCAGACUGUGAGCCUCCAGGGGCAGGAACCGAGACCCGCCGACAGGGAAGGGGUGGGAUGGUGGUACCGUUAUGCGCUUCUCGAGGGCAGGAUUGUGCCGACCUCACCUCGCCGCCUGGAGACUUUCUUUUUAGGCUUCCCAAUACCUGUACCUCAAGAUAGAUGUUGCCCCUUCUACCCCGUGGGAAUCGCUUACUGCCCCCCAAAAGCCCAACAAUGAGUUGGGAUUCAGUGGCUGCACCCAUGUGGAGUAGACUGUAAGCUGGCUCUGGGCAGGAAAUGUGUUUGUUCUCCCAAGUACUUAGUGUUCUGCGCUCAGUAAAUAUGUUGGACUGAGCCAGAGCACCAUAAACACAAGCGUAAUUGUAACAGCAGAAGCUGAGUCACCAACAGUAGUCACUGAGUACUUAGUAGAGGCAGAGUACCCUACCGAUCGCCUGGGAGACUGACUUAAAAAGUGCAAAUCUCUCCUUGCAUUGGAACCUAGUCUGCAGAAUAUUUUUGAGAUGAGUUCUCCGCUGACUCGUCUUGGCGCCGACUUAAAUGGAUGAAAUGUAUUUAUGUUAAGUGUCUGUCUUCCCCUCUAGACUGUAAGCUCAUAGUAGGCAGGGAUUCUGUCUGAUAGUAAGGGCUAGAUAAAUACCACUGACUGAUUGAAAUGUGUGUCUUUAAAAUUGAGGUGUCUCACCCCCAUCCUGCUUUUCAUACCAUGCUCUGUCAAAUAGCAUUUGAUAAACACUACUGCUUUCUUCCUGCAAUACCGCCACCCUUCACUCUACGUAUUGAUUUGCUCUUUUCCCUACUCGUACCGCCGAUUCAAGCAUAUCUUGGGUUCAGUGUGCACAACUUCACGUACCGACCUUUUAUAUGCCAUUCCACCCGUGUGUGACUCAUUUUGAAACUUAGUGAGAGCAGGGGCUGCGCGUGCUAUGGAAUGUUGAACUUUUUGAAGCACUUGUACCGUGUUGUUCUGAAGCUGAUCUUUGCCCCUCUAGAGGGUAAGCUUAUUGGGGCAGAGCUUGCAGUGGCUGUAUUGUUCUAUUGUACUCUCCCAAAGGCUUAGUCCCGUUCUCUGCACCUUUCUGUAAGAGCUCAAAUAUGAUCGAAUGAGUGUCUUAGAUUGUAAGCUCCCAGUGGGCAGGAGCUGUGUCUCCUGCACCCAACUUGCCCAAGAAGGUGCUUAAUGAGAUGGGGUCUGACUCAUCAGAUCAAACUUUGGGUCAGACGCCUCCAUUAGGCUCUAUUGUGGGGGAGGGGAGGAGGGGCCGGGUGAGGGACCAGCCUGGCACUGGGUAAGUAUUCAGGGCCUCGGCUACAGGAAGAGAGAAAGCAGAAGCCCAUCUACUCUCUGCCCCCUGGAGCUCUCCCAGACAAUCCUGCUCAGAGGGGCCAAGGAAGGAGCCUGAGCCCCAGAUGCAUCCUGGGAGACCCAGCCCCCUGCUCCAACCCCACCUCCCCACGGACAUGUUGGUGCAGACAGGACGGUUGCUUCCUACUCCCUGGGUGGAGGACUGGGCUGGCACUCUCCCCCGUGGUGGGCUAGAAGACACCUCAUCAACCAAUCAACGGUCACAUCUGUCCUCAGGAAGCCGCAGCGCAGCCCCGAACCGGACCACCUCGCCCCGAGGGAAGUGGACGACUGACCAGCUAUUCACCGCAUACCACGGACACUCAUAGCUUGCGCCGGCCCCACCGUGACGGAAUCGGGUGGCAUCAGGCCAUUCCCCGCUCCUGCUCCCCAGCCCGCAACUGUGUAUCCCCUCCUUCCAGAUCAUGCCAUUUCGUUUGUGGGUCAAGGGUCAAACACUGCAUCAUGGGUGCCAAACCAGUUCCUUGCAACUCCAGGAGGGGAUGGAGGUCUGUGGGUGUGUGUGCCUCAUGCGUGAGAGUGAGGGCCAGGACCAGAGCAGGGUGAGAGGGGCCACCCCUCUUUGGAUGGGUAGAGGGUUCUGGAAACAGGGGUCUAGAGUUCUGGACAGGUGCUCCAAAGAUGGACCUCCAGUGCAGGUGUGAAGUCGCCCUGGGGCCCUUAAUUCUAUAGUCAGGGUGACUUCCUCCUGUCCUGGGCCAUUGGGAGUUAUCUGCCCAGCUCUGGCUUCAAGAGUACAGACUCCCUCUCCCGGCCGAGGGAGGUGCCCCUGGGGGAGCGGGGUUUAGGGGCAGGAAGAGUCAAGGGUGUGUGUAUCUAUGUGUAUGUGUGUGUGACUACCUUAUGUCCUCCAUCCCUCCUGGACGAGCAGAAUGAAGCUGGGAGAGGACUAGCAGCAAAUCCUAGAGGGGGAAGACGCAAAGUGGUUUUCCCCUAUCCUAUCAACAGAAAUGGCAUGCUCUGGCCCCCUCCUCUCUUGGUCCCCUCUCAGUCCCCUUGGCGACCUGGGCUCUGUAAGCCCAAAUGCAUCUGUAUGGAAUAAAAUGUAUAUGUUCUGCGUCA